UACGAAGGGGGCUAGCGUUGUUCGGAAUUACUGGGCGUAAAGCGCGCGCAGGCGGCUAUCCAAGUCAGUGGUGAAAGCCCGGAGCUCAACUCCGGAACUGCCAUUGAAACUGUUUAGCUUGAGGAUGAGAGAGGUGAGUGGAAUUCCCAGUGUAGAGGUGAAAUUCGUAGAUAUUGGGAAGAACACCGGUGGCGAAGGCGGCUCACUGGCUCAUUACUGACGCUGAGGCACGAAAGCGUGGGGAGCAAACAGG
rnacentral:rRNA from 1 species